rnacentral:rRNA from 1 species
GACGAACGCUGGCGGCGUGCUUAACACAUGCAAGUCGAACGGAAAGGCCCUGCUUUUGUGGGGUGCUCGAGUGGCGAACGGGUGAGUAACACGUGAGUAACCUGCCCUUGACUUUGGGAUAACUUCAGGAAACUGGGGCUAUUACCGGAUAGGAGCUCCUGCUGCAUGGUGGGGGUUGGAAAGUUUCGGCGGUUGGGGAUGGACUCGCGGCUUAUCAGCUUGUUGGUGGGGUAGUGGCUUACCAAGGCUUUGACGGGUAGCCGGCCUGAGAGGGUGACCGGCCACAUUGGGACUGAGAUACGGCCCAGACGCCUACGGGAGGCAGCAGUGGGGAAUAUUGCACAAUGGGCGGAAGCCUGAUGCAGCAACGCCGCGUGCGGGAUGACGGCCUUCGGGUUGUAAACCGCUUUCGCCUGUGACGAAGCGUGAGUGACGGUAAUGGGUAAAGAAGCACCGGCUAACUACGUG